GGGGAAUUUUCCGCAAUGGGCGAAAGCCUGACGGAGCAAGACCGCGUGAGGGAUGAAGGCCUUUGGGUUGUAAACCUCUUUUCUCAGGGAAGAAUACAAUGACGGUACCUGAGGAAUAAGCCUCGGCUAACUCCGUGCCAGCAGCCGCGGUAAGACGGAGGAGGCAAGCGUUAUCCGGAAUGAUUGGGCGUAAAGCGUCCGCAGGUGGUGGUGUGUGUCUAUUGUCAAAGCAUCAUGCUUAACAUGAUAAAGGCAGUAGAAACUACACGACUAGAGUGCGUUCGGGGCAGAGGGAAUUCCUGGUGUAGCGGUGAAAUGCGUAGAGAUCAGGAAGAACACCGGUGGCGAAAGCGCUCUGCUAGGCCGCAACUGACACUGAGGGACGAAAGCUAGGGGAGCGAAAGGGAUUAGAUACCCCAGUAGUC
rnacentral:rRNA from 1 species